GAUGAACGCUGGCGGCGUGCCUAAUACAUGCAAGUCGAGCGAACAGACGAGGAGCUUGCUCCUCUGACGUUAGCGGCGGACGGGUGAGUAACACGUGGAUAACCUACCUAUAAGACUGGGAUAACUUCGGGAAACCGGAGCUAAUACCGGAUAAUAUAUUGAACCGCAUGGUUCAAUAGUGAAAGACGGUUUUGCUGUCACUUAUAGAUGGAUCCGCGCCGCAUUAGCUAGUUGGUAAGGUAACGGCUUACCAAGGCAACGAUGCGUAGCCGACCUGAGAGGGUGAUCGGCCACACUGGAGCUGAGACACGGUCCAGACUCCUACGGGAGGCAGCAGUAGGGAAUCUUCCGCAGUGGGCGAAAGCUUGACGGAGCAACGCCGCGUGAGUGAUGAAGGUCUUCGGAUCGUAAAACUCUGUUAUUAGGGAAGAACAAAUGUGUAAGUAACUAUGCACGUCUUGACGGUACCUAAUCAGAAAGCCACGGCUAACUACGUG
rnacentral:rRNA from 1 species